AUGUAGCAAGACUUUUAUCAAACAGUGGAAUUUUAUCCUGGAAAACACCUUCACGCGGGCGAAGCCGCGAGCAAAAGCUAGUAUAAUAUAAAACCUUGUGAUAGCGAGCCAGCAAUUUGAAGAGUGUAGUAACUAUUGUUUACACUCUACUGACGUCAUACGUCAUUGACUUCACAUUAUCAGUAUUCAGUACCCGUAGCAGGCAUUUAUGCAUUAUCGUAUAGUAUUCGUAUCGAGUAAGUUAACGUAUUUCUCGAUAGUUUUACAAUAAUAUACGUCAAAAUAAUAAAUUGGUACUACCAAAGCCCAGACAUUUUAAGUUUAUCUUUACCAUGUUUACGAGAAAUACUAUUCGUAGUUUAUACGUCCCCACACUUACUUCUCAAUACGCAUACCAGGACUCUAUAUAUUUUCAUACAAAAAAUACUUAGUUAUUACGUUAACUAUACCAUAGCGCAUAAAUACGUGUACAGGAGACAAAACAAAUUAAAAAUAUUAACACAGUAUUCGUAUACCUCAAGUCUCUUUUAAUUUUCAUGCCUUGUAAACACCAGGCAUAUAUACUGGCAGCUCUUAACGAUACGAGAGACCCUAGGUGAAAGAAAGCCAAAAAAACGAGGCGAGGCCCCGGGCGGACCAGAAAAAAGGUCCCCGGUCUUAAUAGUUAGUAAAAUCGUAAAAAAAGUCUUCCAAGACGACGCGCGAGGCCCCGGGCGGUUGCCCGAUUCGCCUUUCCCUAAGACCGCCUUUAUCUUUAAACCUAUUGAUGCCAUGUUAAUAAGUAGUUUCAUAUCUAUUUCGUAUGUUAGUGUUGUAUAUAAUGAUAUGUUUUACGAAUAUGGUUGUUAUUAUAAUGAUUUAUUAUAUUUACGCGAAUUGCAUAUCGAAUUGAAACUAGUUUUCGGAUUGUAUCGUAGUUUUUAUAUUAUAUUUUUUGUCAUACAAAGACUGCAGUCUUUAUGGUCACGGAGUGGACUGUAUUGCUCGUCCGAGAAGUCAGUUACAAUAUGUACAUUUUUAAUAUUAUAAUUGUAAAUAGGUAAAUAUAGUAAUACUUUUUGGACGACCUACACCCCGAUCGGCUCCGUGACCAUAAAGGCUGCAGGAAUAGGUAAAUACAGUAAUACUUUGUGGACGACUCACACCUCAGUCAGCCAUUGACCGUCAAGCCUGCAAGAUUCGAAACGUCGAGAACAAAUUAUGACCCAAAAAACCGCGAUAAAAUACUAAAACUAGUUUUAUUUCCAUGCAUAUUACUAUACUACGGGAAAAAUACUACGGUCCUGCACUUUCCAUUCCACUAUGUAAAUAUUAUUUUUCUUAUUACCAUAGUUUUCGUUGAGUACAGUUCGUGGUAAAGUUAAUAAUAUAUUUAAACAGUUAAUAUUCUGCGAAGAAUAAGAAAAUAUACUGUGAAGUAUAGAAGUUUAUAAAAAUGUGAAUUAAAAUGAACACUACCUGUAUCUACGUUUUUUCAUUGUACCGGAUACGGAUAUAAGGUCGGGAUCAGUUAAACACUUGAAGAAAGAGACAUCUAUGCUCAAUAUUAAUUAGGAGUCCGACAUUUGUGCCUGAUAAGACGAUAGCCUCGUCAUCACAUCUUGGGACGGAUCACGGAAUACACACGACAAAAAUUGGAUGCACUGGUUGCCCCUCUUCUUUGGGGAUAAAAGGCGUGAGUGUGAGCUGGAAAAUCACUAGCUACGCCCAUGACGACGUCAAUGGAAUCCAAAGAAAAUAACUCUGAUCAAUGGAAAGACUUAUUACUUAUACAAUAAGUACACUUACACCAUAGGCUUCAAGGCUCACAACUACGAACGAUGGAGAUGCACCAAUACAUCAACUUGUUCGGCUUAUAUCAAUGUUAUGAAAGAUGGGAAGCUGUUGAAAGUCGUAGGAGAUCAUACUCAUGCAGUUCCCAUCUUCGGCAAAGCAUCUGAUGGGAGAUACGUCAGGCUUUUCACUUAUAAGUGAAAUAAUGUUUCAGAAGCCGAUUCAGAGCGUAAAUGUUUGUGAAAAACUAAUAAUUGUAUAUAAUAGAAAUGAUAUUUGAUUAUCUUUUAAAGCAGAUUUUUAAAACACGCGUCGUUUUUAAAAACGCGGCUUUAAAAGGUAUAUAUUCUUAAAGAUAACUCGUCUUGUAUUCUAAAGAUUUGAUGAUUGUGACGUCUCUUAAAAUAUUUUAUAGAAUUUAGUUGUCAAUAUAACAAAAAUAUAGUUUUAGUCUGUUAGCGUUUCAAUGAAGCAGAAUAUUAUAUACAUACUGACUCGGUGCCACAAUUGUACUGCAUGCGCGGUACGGCAGCGCUCUCUGAGGUCCUAGGUUUGAAUCCCGAGUCAAGCAAAGUGAUAUUAGGAUUUUUCUGCUCGGUAGUAACUUAAGAGCAGGCUCCUAUUUAAAGAUUUUUUGUCUUCACACGAAUGUUAAACACUAAAAUAAAACAAUUUUUCGGAUUUUCUUGCGGUUUUUUUUAAUUUAAAAUUUUCUCCCGCCGGUUCGAAGACUUUGCAGUCCCAUCGAGAGAGCACACAUUAUAAAGAAGAAGAAGAUUCCACCAGCAAGCGGGACCCUCACCAGGCUCUCGAUCGCAGAUGUGGCUGACAUAGCCAGGAUACACAUCAUAGCCGGCCGCUUUCUGUCCCCACAGGUCAGAGAGAGCACCAAAUUCGAAGAACUGUCCAGAGCUCCGUAGAUCAUUGCGAAGAAUAAUGUUUCUUGGAUUGUGUCGUUGCAAAUUUCUCCUAUGGCCUAGAAGCACAGUGAUAUAUCAUGUCAAAAUGUAUAUUGUUAUGAAUAACAUAAAUAUAAUUUUUGUACACACACAUGUUUGACUUCGGUAAAAGUAUGAGAAGUGCUGUUACCGAAACCUCUUACAUAUUAUUAUAAAAAUGACCCAAAAUAAUUAUUGUACUUACUGUGUCAUUUCCGGGGAGAGUAUAUUCUUCGGUAUAUCGUAUAUUUUUUACAUACAGCUCUAAGUUAACUCUAUCUAAUUUUAAGAUUUACACUAACUGGAUGGUAAACUAUAGUUUUCUGUUUUCAAUUUACAUUCUAUAACUUCAAUGUUGCGGUGACUUAGCUUGCUGAUUUUUAUUUCCAGAUCCGAAGCAAAUAACUCUGCUCAACAGGAAGACUUGUUACUUAUACAAGAAAUACACUUACACCUUAGACUUCAGGAGACACACCUACGCACGAUGGAAAUGCACCGAUACAUCAACUUGUUCGGCUUAUAUCGAUAUUAUGACAGAUGGGAAGCUGUUGAAAGACAAAGGAGAUCAUACUCAUCCGAAUCCCAAAUUCGUCAUAGCACCUGAUGGAAGAUAUGUCAAUCUUUUAUACGUGACGUAAUGUGUCAGGAGCUGAUUCAGAGCGUAAUUGUUUGUGAAAAACGAAUAAUAGUAUAUGGUAGAAAUUAUAUUUAAUUAUCUUUUAAAGUAGCUUUUCAAAACACGCGACGUUUUUAAAAACGCAGUAAAAAAACGCAAAAAAACGAACACUUUGAUGAAAGGUCCAGAGAGAAUUCACCACAUUGUCCGACAUGGCAAGUCAUUGAUGACAUCCAUCACAUAUUGAUGAAUGUCUCUAUGAGAAAUAAUUCCGAUAUAAAUAUAUCAGAUAUAGGUGAUUUUAAUAGCCUUCUAGCACUACCACUCACUGAAGAUACUAGGAAGCUAUAUAAAUAGGCAGCCGGAAGAAGUGGCAACUAGUGUUGUCUUAUUCAAGCGGUGUAACUUAGUGACAAAAAAAGCGGCGAUAGCCUAAUUGAUUGUGAAACGGACUGCCGAGACGGAUGUCCGCAGGUUCAAAUCCCAAGGGCACACACGUCUAACUUUUCUAAAAAAAAAUAUGUGUGUAUUCUUUGCGAAUUAUCAGCGCUUGCUUUAGCGGUGAAGGAAAACAUCGUGAGGAAACCUGUAUACCUAAGAAGUUCUCUAUAGGAAUUUCGAGGGUCUGUGAAGUUUACCAAUCCGCACUAGGCCAGCGUGGUGGACUAAGGCCUAAUCCCUCCCAGUAGUAGAGGAGGCCCGUUCCCAAAAGUGGGCAAUAUAUAAUAUAGGGCUGAUAUUAUUAUUAUAUAACUUAGUGACUAAGAUUUGCAUUAACCGGGGCGGCAUAAUCACUUGUACGAAAAAGCCCCUGCUUUAAGAAAAAAAAAAAAAACAAAAAAAAAAUAUACAAUUUAGUUGUUAA
rnacentral:lncRNA from 1 species